GAAGCGGCAACAGCUCAAAUUUGAAAUCUGGCGCAAGCCCGAGUUGUAAUUUGUAGAGGAUGCUUCAGGGCAGCGGCCGUUCUAAGUCUUUUGGAACAAGGCGUCACAGAGGGUGAGAAUCCCGUAUGCGACCGGCGCGCACCCGUCACGUAGCUCCUUCGACGAGUCGAGUUGUUUGGGAAUGCAGCUCUAAAUGGGAGGUAAAUUUCUUCUAAAGCUAAAUAUUGGCCAGAGACCGAUAGCGCACAAGUAGAGUGAUCGAAAGAUGAAAAGCACUUUGGAAAGAGAGUUAAACAGCACGUGAAAUUGUUGAAAGGGAAGCGCAUGCAACCAGACGUGCCGGCGGUGUUCCCCCGGUCUUUUGACCGGGUCACUCGCCGCCGGCAGGCUCGCAUCGCCUGGGCGCGUCGGAGAAAGGCGCGGGGAAUGUGGCUCCUUCGGGAGUGUUAUAGCCCCGUGCGCAAUACGGCGCCGCCCGGGCGAGGUCCGCGCUCCGGCUAGGAUGCGGGCGUAAUGGUUGUCUGCGGCCCGUCUUGAA
rnacentral:rRNA from 1 species